UUAGUAAUUCAAGAGGACUGGCU
rnacentral:piRNA from 1 species